UUAAAAGAAAAUUAUUUCCCGAAUAUUACGAAAAUUUUUAAAAUUCAAAGAGCUUGGCGGUAUUCUAGACUUCUCAGGGGAACCUGCCGGAUAAUCGAUAAUCCCCGCAAUACCUUACCUUUUUUUGUAUUCAGCUUGUAUACCGUCGUCAUCAGAUUACUUUUUAAAAGAAAAAAGUUUACUAAAAACCCAUACAGGUUUUAUGUCAGAUCAUGGUGCAGCCUAUAAAAAGGUCUUGGUGGGUUACUAAUUACUAUUUAUAAUUGGAUUAUUAGAAAAAAAUUUCAAUAUGAAAUAGGACUUGACAGUAAAUUAAAUCCAUUAGUAGAAUUAAUUGAAGCAUAUUAUUAGAGCUCUUGAAUG
rnacentral:rRNA from 1 species